rnacentral:rRNA from 1 species
GAUGAACGCUGGCGGCGUGCUUAACACAUGCAAGUCGAACGAUGAAGCCCAGCUUGCUGGGUGGAUUAGUGGCGAACGGGUGAGUAACACGUGAGUAACCUGCCCUUGACUCUGGGAUAAGCCCGGGAAACUGGGUCUAAUACCGGAUAGGAGCGCCUGUCGCAUGACGGGUGCUGGAAAGAUUUUUCGGUCAUGGAUGGACUCGCGGCCUAUCAGCUUGUUGGUGAGGUAAUGGCUCACCAAGGCGACGACGGGUAGCCGGCCUGAGAGGGUGACCGGCCACACUGGGACUGAGACACGGCCCAGACUCCUACGGGAGGCAGCAGUGGGGAAUAUUGCACAAUGGGCGGAAGCCUGAUGCAGCGACGCCGCGUGAGGGAUGACGGCCUUCGGGUCGUAAACCUCUUUCAGCAGGGAAGAAGCGAAAGUGACGUACCUGCAGAG